CAUCUUCUUUAUAUGAUGUGAACACAUUAAUUUACUAACUGGAAAUUCAGGUUCCAAUAAUAGCACUGGUUAUGAGCUUCUACAUUUAUACAAUUUCAGACAGAUAGGGCCCGACACAAAAGUGUUUGGUGUUAUUGGAAAGCCAGUUGGCCAAAGCAAAUCACCAAUUUUGUAUAAUGAGGCCUUCAAGUCAGUUGGUUUUAAUGGAGUUUAUCUGCAUUUGUUGGUAGAUGACAUUGCAAAUUUUCUCCAAACUUACUUGUCUGCAGAUUUUGCGGGAUUCAGUGUCACCAUUCCUCACAAGGAAGCUGCACUCACGUGCUGUGAUGAGGUUGAUCCAGUUGCCAAGUCAAUAGGAGCUGUUAAUUGCAUUAUAAGGAGACAAAGUGAUGGGAAGUUAUUGGGAUUCAAUCCUUCUCCUCGUCCGGGC